rnacentral:piRNA from 1 species
UGGUAGAUGGCAACUUGAGUAA